rnacentral:rRNA from 1 species
UACGUAGGGUGCGAGCGUUAUCCGGAAUCACUGGGCGUAAAGGGAGCGUAGGCGGACUUUUAAGUGAGAUGUGAAAUACCCGGGCUCAACUUGGGUGCUGCAUUUCAAACUGGAAGUCUAGAGUGCAGGAGAGGAGAAUGGAAUUCCUAGUGUAGCGGUGAAAUGCGUAGAUAUUAGGAGGAACACCAGUAGCGAAGGCGGCUCUCUGGACUGUAACUGACGCUGAGGCACGAAAGCGUGGGGAGCAAACAGGAUUAGAUA